GAAAGAGGUGGCAUCGGCAGUUCAAGACUGAUUUUUCUAUCUCUUCAGUGCCUCUUUCAACAAUAUGAAGUUCAAACCAGGUUUUGUGCAAAUAUCUGCUGAGUAAACUACUUAUUUGAAAAGACAUCAUUGGUUAAUAUUCCCUUUUGCUCAUUGAAAUCUCAAAGACUAGAGACCCAGCACAAGACAUUCUGACAUUCCCGUCUUUGAAAUGAAUGACAACGAUGGUAAAUGUGGCUCACCUCCAGAGAUACAGAUCUCACAAUUUCAUAUUUUUAAUAUACAUUAUUAAUCCGAGGUGUGGUGCAAUUCCGUUAGAUGAAAGAGAUCUACACAUUCAGAAGCACAUGAUUCUUCCCCCUUCCAUGAUUCCAGUGGCCAAUAGGUAAUCAGAACUGCUCUGUUCAGCUAAAAGACAGAAAAAGAGCAUAUGAAAGACGUAUUUUCCUGGAAGUGCUCAUCCUGAUAACUGUGUACACCACUACUGCUCACAUUCCACUGGCCAAUAUUUAGGUAGAUAACUUCACUAACUACAAGGUAUGCUGGGAAAUAAGGUCCAGAUAUGUGUGA
rnacentral:lncRNA from 1 species